GAGGAAAAGAAACCAACAGGGAUUGCCUCAGUAAUGGCGAACGAAGCGGCAACAGCCCAAAUUUGAAAUCUGGCGUAAGCCCGAGUUGUAAUUUGGAGGUAGACUAUUUGGGUGUCUGUGUCAACUAAGUGCCUUGGAAUAGGCCGCCGUAGAGGGUGAGAGCCCCGUGAGUUGACUAGCAGUUAUUCAGUUUGUCUUCCGACGAGUCGAGUUGUUUGGGAUUGCAGCUCUAAGUGGGUGGUAUAUUCCAUCUAAGGCUAAAUAAUAGCGAGAGACCGAUAGCAAACAAGUACAGUGAUGGAAAGAUGAAAAGAACUUUGAAAAGAGAGUGAAAUAGUACGUGAAAUUGUUGAAAGGGAAGGGUAUCUGAUCCGACGUGGUAUUUAGAUGUCGCCUGCCCUUGUGGCGGGUGCUCCAUUUUUUUACUGGGCCAGCGUGAGUUAGAAGGGGAUGAAAAGGCGGGAACGAAUGUAGCCUUCCUCCCUUUGGGAGAGGGGUGUUAUAACAUUCCUGUUUAGUUCCUUUCUGACUGAGGUCCGCGGUUUUUUAUUACCAAGGACGCUGGCAGAACGAGCAGAUACCGCCCGUCUUG
rnacentral:rRNA from 1 species